AAUCCAUGAUUAGUACAUUUUUUAAGAAAUCCCUUGUAUCAGUCCCAACAUUCAUAUAUAUACUCUUCAUCAGCUUGAAAGAAAGAUGAUAUGUCAUUUCUCAAUUGAGUGU